CUUCGUUGGUUUUUAAUGUUCCCCUUCACGUCUUGGUUUGGGGUAUAAUGGAAGUGGUUUUCAAUACAUGACAACUGAACAGAGAGAUUCCAACUGAGGUAUUUUCCCCUUUUUGACUUUAACAUCAAUUAUUUAACAACAAUCAUUUCCCCAGGUAGAAUAUUCGCACAGAUUGCAACGUUCAAAUACAGCGACUGACUGAUUCUUUCCCACUAAAAAAAAUAAAAAAUUAAUUUUGCCAAAACAUGUUACGCCGAAUAUACUGGAACAAGAUGUGCUUGAAACCACAGAUCAACUCUGUUUUAAUCCCACAAUAUGAUUCAUAAUCUACAUUAUGUUUUCCAUUUUGGGAAUUCAAUCAACAUGAGCAGAUUUACAUUUAGACACAAACAAAAAGCUAAACGUCAGUUUUUACCAAGACUUCCCAGCAUCCGUCAUCACUCGCACAAUUCAGCCUAAUAAAUAAGAGAUAUCAUCCAGCAUAUGGACGCGCAAUAAAUGAGAACACCCCCGACACUUCAUUUUCACCACGUCGGCUCCUCUGAGGACUUUUCCUUUUUUGAUAGUUUGUUCUUUACAAAUCCAGUGAGUUUGUUCUCUCAAGCCCUGAUGAUUAAAGCAUCAUCCGUCCUGCUGAAAAUGACGACAAAUGCUCAGUUCAGCCACAAGUUCAACUUUAAGAUUAUUCCCCAAACCCCUAAAAUAUAAAACUGAAAAUGUUCAUGUUCUUUAGAUUUAAAAUGUUUAUCACUUAGUACUUUUAUUCAAUUAAUAACCAUAAACAUCAUUACUGUUUAUAACAAAUUCAGUAAAUGAGGAAUAUUUCAACUUGAUUCAAGUCUCUAACAUUUAAGUCCAAUAGUUCCAAUAAAAGAACACAUGAAAGCCACCUAAUGGGUAGAAUUAAUAUCCCAUUUGUAUCUUUCUUGUGAAAUGCCUGUCACCGAGUGUUCCUUUAAAUUGCUUGUUUCCUCCAACCAGCCGGGCAAAGAUACCGAGUGAACAGUGUUAAUAAACACGAGAACAGCAGCAAUGUAUUUCAUUCAAGGAGCUGAAAGGAUCAUUCUGGGCAUUUCUUCUUUAAAGGACAGUAGUAAUUUGUGGAUUAUUCCAAUUGUUGCUGAUUAGUUUUCCACUGAUUAGUUCAUCCAGUCAUCAAAUUAUUAUUUAAAACACCGGUCCAUGAACAUAAACUGUGUGUGUGUCGAGGCCGUGACAUUAAAGCAGAAACAGAGUGACGCUUGACGAGGUGAGGUUCAUUUUUACAGCAAACAGAAAUCACAACAAAUUUAGAAUAAAUAACUAUUCCAAUCGUAUAUUUCAUUGGUAGUAUUCCUUCUUCUUAAAUAGUUUUGGUUCAAAUCCUUAUGGGACGGAGGGUCUCGGG
ensembl:lncRNA